rnacentral:tRNA from 3 species
GGAGAGGUGGCCGAGUCCGGUUGAAGGCGCUCGACUCGAAAUCGAGUGUGUUGUUAGCAGCAGCACCGUGGGUUCGAAUCCCACCCUCUCCGCCA